CCUACGGGCGGCAGCAGUGAGGAAUAUUGGUCAAUGGGCGCAAGCCUGAACCAGCCAAGUCGCGUGAGGGAAGACGGCCCUACGGGUUGUAAACCUCUUUUGCCGGGGAGCAAGCCUGAGCACGUGUGCCCAGGCGGAGAGUACCCGGAGCAAAAGCAUCGGCUAACUCCGUGCCAGCAGCCGCGGUAAUACGGAGGAUGAGAGCGUUAUCCGGAUUUAUUGGGGUUAAAGGGUGCGCAGGCGGGCGGUUUAGCCGGCGGUAAAAAUUACAGGCUCAACCCUGUCGAGCCUUCGGAACUGGCAGCCUUGAGUGGGCGAGAAGUAUGCGGAAUGCGUGGUGUAGCGGUGAAAUGCAUAGAUACCACGCAGAACGCCGAUUGCGAAGGCAGCAGACCGGCGCCCGACUGACGCUGAGGCACGAAAGCGUGGGGAUCGAACAGGAUUAGAUACCCCAGUAGUC
rnacentral:rRNA from 1 species